rnacentral:rRNA from 1 species
AGAGUUUGAUCCUGGCUCAGAUUGAACGCUGGCGGCAGGCUUAACACAUGCAAGUCGAACGGUAACAUAAAGAAGCUUGCUUCUUUGAUGACGAGUGGCGGACGGGUGAGUAAUGCUUGGGAAUCUAGCUUAUGGAGGGGGAUAACUACGGGAAACUGUAGCUAAUACCGCGUAGAAUCGAGAGAUGAAAGUGUGGGACCUUCGGGCCACAUGCCAUAGGAUGAGCCCAAGUGGGAUUAGGUAGUUGGUGAGGUAAAGGCUCACCAAGCCGACGAUCUCUAGCUGGUCUGAGAGGAUGACCAGCCACACUGGGACUGAGACACGGCCCAGACUCCUACGGGAGGCAGCAGAAGGGCGAAUU